AGAGUGAACGCUGGCGGUAGGCCUAACACAUGCAAGUCGAACGGCAGCACAGGAGAGCUUGCUCUCUGGGUGGCGAGUGGCGGACGGGUGAGGAAUACAUCGGAAUCUACCUUUUCGUGGGGGAUAACGUAGGGAAACUUACGCUAAUACCGCAUAAGACCUUCGGGUGAAAGCCGGGGACCUUCGGGCCUGGCGCGGAUAGAUGAGCCGAUGUCGGAUUAGCUUGUUGGCGGGGUAAAAGCCCACCAAGGCGACGAUCCGUAGCUGAUCUGAGAGGAUGAUCAGCCACACUGGAACUGAGACACGGUCCAGACUCCGUACGGGAGCAGCAGGUGGGAAUAGUUGGACAAGUGGGCGCGAAGCCUGAUCCAGCCAUACCGCGGUGGGUAGAAGAAGGCCUUAGGUAUAAAGUCUAC
rnacentral:rRNA from 1 species